GCCCAGGUGGCGGAAUUGGUAGACGCGCAUGGUUGAGGGCCAUGUGUCCAUUUGGAUGUGCAAGUUCGAGUCUUGUUCUGGGCA
rnacentral:tRNA from 1 species